ensembl:lncRNA
ACAAGCUCAAAUCCUGUAAUGAACAUCCUCUCCCUGGGAUGCCACACAGUUUAACAAGCAAUAGCCUCAGCUUGUUUCACAGCUUUUCUGUUCCUGGUGUUUUUUGGCUAAAGGACAUCAACACCGCAAGAUAUCAGUACUUAUCCUUCCUGCCUUUUCAAAUGGCACCUGGUGUCUUUGAGGGAAAGAGGUUUAUCUGGCUUCCACACCUGGGUCAAUCCUGCUUCACAGAAGUUCUCUAGAUGCUAACUGGUACCCUUAGUUCUACCUUAGGAGCUCUAGGACUAUUAUCUUUUGACUUCUUUCUGAAGAACACGACCAAUACAAGGCUGUGAGCAAAACAAGCUUCUGUGUGAGGAUUUGAAAGUAAUGGGGUGCAGCGUAGAACACGUAACUUAAAGCUGACUAAUGUACAUCCAUGUGCUGAAGUUUUUCAGGUGGAGGGAGUUGAAGCUUGGCCAAAGGUGGAGUAAGUUGAUGGCCAGAUCAGAAUGACUCAGAAUGUGACUGCAGUGGUCUCCAGGGACAGAAGCGAAGAAUCCAGCAACCCAAGAAGUAUACAACAUAGAUCGUGGGAGACUGCAAUUAAGCAAAAUCAAGAAUAAUGGGACCAUAGCAACAAAUAGGACAGCUCAAGGGAGUCAGUGUCAACAUAGAGGAGGAAAGGUGGUUGAUGGAAAGAACAGAGGGAGGAAUGACCCCAGGAACAGAGACCAGCUGGGGACAGAGGGGCAGAAACUACAGAGGUGUAGUGAUAAUUACUCUGUCUCCAGAAUCAGAAACUGUGGGUCCUGUGGGAAAUGGAUGUGCUUUCUUUUAAAAUAUUUGUUUGUUUACUUGACUGCCUCAG